UCCGUAAACCAUUCAUACAUAAAAUCAAGGUUUCUCAUCCAGAUCUAUUCUGCGUGGCUUCUCUGCCACGCGUUUUGUUCUCGAAUUCAGCUUGAUCGCUCUGAGAGCUACAAGUAGAUGGCAGCUUCAGCAGCUUAAACCAGCUGAACCUUCAGAUGUUCUGGUUUGGCUGAGAGAGCUAAUUCAAGAUCUCUCAUAUAUUCGCCUAGCUUUUAAUGGAUCCGCUAUGGUUUCGAUUAUAAGGGAUUUCAAAUUUAUGUAUCAGGCACGCAUGGCGCAAUCGAUGAGCUUCCUUUGGAUCCGGAAUCAGAUUUCAAUUCAAUUCCCAAUUCGCCUAAACUGCUGGCUCUGAGGGCAUACAUACGACACCAAUAUGAGAAUGACUCAAUUGUUGUUGGGCUGUGUCAGUGUGUGUGAUGUAAAUAUUUAUGAAUGGGAAAGCAGAGAGGGAUAUUGGGAUUUGGAAAAUAAAAAUUGUAAAGGGAUGUAUAAGAUAGGUCGGGACGAAAGGCCCGAGUUGAGAGAGGGCUAAAUCGUUCUGAUUGAUCUUUGUCAUCCGACCUUUGCCAUGACGGGUGCGCUUGCUUGGCAGGUCACAAAAAAAAGCAUAAUAAAAAAAUUGAUGUGUUUUUGGUUUUGAGGGAGAGAUCGCACGGGAAGUUUGCCCGGGGUCUCUCCCACUGUGGCGUGUGUUCCCUUCCCUUCCUGCUAUUUCUUUUCUUAUUAAGUUCGCGACUCCAAUGACUACUACUACUACUACCACAGGAUGAGCUUAGCAACAUCAGCAAUUGAUUCACUACUCGCGUGGCCUUGAGGUAUACUUUACUAAAUUCAUUCCUAGUUGCAACGACACCAGUCAAUUCUUUCAACAUAGGGUAGGAGUGCAGAAUAAUACUUUUACUAUUUGCUUAGACUGGAUACAAGUGCUGCAGAGACGGUUACAUUUAGUUACACUUUUUUUAACAUAGUUUUACUUAUAAAAAUAAAAUUAUUAGUUAGUUCUAUUAAGUAAAAACUGAAAUAAAUUUGCAUGUUGGGUUCAAAUGCCAUAAAAAGCAAUCAUAAUGGAGCGGGCACCAUAGGUAUCGUAGGUAUAGGUUGAUGCAUGUCGGUUUAUCUGAAAAGUUGGAAAUGAAAAUAAGAAUAAAUAAUAAGAAUUAAUAUUUAUUGGAAAUAUUGUCAUUCGCAAUUUGUUUUAAAAGAAGUUCAUCACUUCAACAAUUGUGUUUUAUGUUCUGAGUUUUUUUUUUGUCUUACCUCAAAGUUAGCAAUGAUUUCCCUAAUAAUAUUGGAGAAUUUAAUUUUUCCCAAAGAAAAGUAGUGUUACAUGUUAGUGUAUCAAUUGAUUAUUUGAUCUCCAAUGCCCUAAAGCAUAGCAGCCGUGUUUCAAUUCUUUAAUGACUGUUUAUUGAGAGAUAUCUUGCACUGUUGUUGUUGAAGAUCACGAGGAUUCUUUCAAAUUUAUGUUGGUUUCGAUAGAUAUAUGUUUGGACAAUAUUGCACUAUCAGUCAUGCAUCAACUUAAAACUAUUUCUCUCCUUUUAAAGAUGUGGUUCCUCAAUGAUAUGCGGAGUACUGGUGAUAAUGUGUUAAGGCCUAAUUGGCAGCAAUACCAGCAAAUUAAUUGAACAAAUUUCAGAUACAAUGUGCAAUGUUUACCUUGUAAAGGCUGGCUCCACCAAUAUUUCUUGCAAAUAUGUUUAUUUACUCUUUAUAGCAAUGGAGCAUGCAGUUCUUUUUCUUUGCUUGUAUAUCAAUAUAUCAUGGAGUCCAAUAUGGACUGCUUGAUUGCAUCUUUGUAUAAACUACUUGUCAUCUUGCAAGGAUGACUCAUUAUGUACUUGGUGGCCUUCCACUGCAUUUUGCUAUUGUUGGAGAGCAUCAAUUAUACUGCUGUAUUUGAGGCUUUUUGUGGGCUGUGGCGAGGCUGAAUGUGGAAGCAGCAUGAGGUUGUAUUAGAUGGUGUUUUGACAGUUGCAGAAGAUCCCCAAGUAAGCUCUAUAUGCUAUUCAAUGUUUGAGGUGAUGAUAGUCUAAUCUAUAAAUACUAGCAUUUUUUAACCUUUUCAUUCAGUUUUGAUCUGUCAUGUAUACCAACAGUCAUUGUAGCCGGUACGACCAUUGGCAAUUUGCUUUGCAUCCUUUCUAAUAAUACAAGUUCAGCAGUCUAUUCAUUCACCUUCUUCAAUCUAUUCAUUAUAAAGUGACAUGGUUAAUUCUGGGAA